GACCAAUGGAAAGACAUCAUAUCAGAAGAACAAAUAAAAUAAUACGCACGGGGGAGAAGCGAGGGAGCGGCAUGAAGAGGGAAGCGGCGGGAGAGAAGCGCGCGUACGGGGGGAUGGCGGCGAAGCCCUGCGACUCGUGUAAGGCCUCGCCGGCGCUCCUCUACUGCCGCGCCGACUCCGCCUACCUCUGCGGCACGUGCGACGCACGCGUCCAUGGAGCCAACCUGCUCGCCUCCCGUCACGGGCGGGUCUGGCUUUGCGAGGUCUGCGAGCAGGCCCCCGCCAGCGUCACCUGCAAGGCCGACGCCGCCGCCCUCUGCGACACCUGCGACGCCGACAUCCACUCCUCCAACCCCCUCGCCCACCGCCACGAGCGCCUCCCAGUUGUCCCCUUCCUCGGCCUCGCCACCGCGGCUGGCGGCGAGUUUCUCACGCCUCGCCCUUCCGCUGAUGAGGAGAGCGUUUCCUGGCUCUUCCCUGAUCCGGAUCCGGAGGAAUCGAUGGAGGCGCUGGAACUCGGAUCGGCGGACUUCUUCUUCUCGGAUGCCGACCCGUACCUGGAUCUGGACUACUCAGUCUACUCUAUGUCGCUGGACACCGGAUUCGAUCGCAAGGACGGCAUCAAGCCCAUCGCCGGUGGACCCCUCCUCGCAUCGGACGGCUAUUUCGAUCCCGACUUUGCCCGACCCAAAUCUUUCUACGGCCGCUCCACCAAACGUUCCCUCACUCGCAGCGCAUCGUCGUCGGAGGUAGCGGUGGUGCCAGACGAGAGCGCGACAGCGGCGGACGCGUCGGCGAGGUCGGGGAAUCCGACGGUGCAGAUGGAGCGGGAGGCGCGUGUGAUGAGGUACCGGGAGAAGAGGAAAAGCCGGCGGUUCGAGAAGACGAUCCGGUACGCAUCCCGGAAAGCUUACGCGGACGCGCGGCCGCGGAUCAAGGGGAGGUUCGCAAAGCGGGCGGAAGUGGAGGCGAAGGUGGGCCGGAUCUACUCCUCCGCCGCCGAUGCUGUGGCGGCGUUCUUGGUAGAUCCCUGCGACGGCGUCGUCCCGUCGCUUUGAUCGAAUGUUGGCAUAAUAGAUGCUGGUACGGCUCAAGAUAGUAGGUAUGAGCAUAUGGUUGCAAGAUUUUAUAUCAAUGAUAGGUAUAUUCGAAAUUAUUACUUUUCUCUAGUAUUUGUAAGUGAAUUAUCAUUAUUUUUAGGGACCUUAUUUGGAAGGAGGAUACCACAUAUAGUUCUAUAUGGGUUGAAGACUUGAGCCUAUGCAAAUUAUUAUCUUCAGAGGCAAUAUCUAAUGAUGUUGCUCUUGCUCGCUUAUUUUAUGGUGCUUGUAUCAUUUUAUCCCACAAUGUCUCAAGCCAUGUUGAUAUUGAUGGGAGUUGGUUGGCUUUUUCUUGCUCUAUCACUCUGUUCAUGGUAAUUCGCUGGUUCAAUACUAACAAAUAUAAAAUGGUUUGACAUUGAUGAGCUUUUUCGGACUAUGGUUGAAACAUUGUCGAGAUAUUGUGCUUGAAGACUACUCUGUGGAACACAUAUCAGAUUGUCGGGAUCAAGAUGGAGAUGUUAAUUGUAGGGUCCAUGUUUGCCUAUGGGUUCAGUCCUUCUCCAGGAGUAGUAAAAAAUUUUGGACAGCGAUGAAGACUUGCAGCAUGAACUGGUAUAGGACUCAUAUGGCACACCAUAAUCUGAUGGAUCACCGAAGCACUCAAAAGGAGGGCAUUGAGAAAUACAUAGCUGAGCGACAUAAGGAUUAAGUAUUAUUUUAUUGUCAAAUAUUUUGGACAUUUGAUGUAUGGGCAUUAUUUUGGACAUAUUCAAUUACUGUGGUACUACUUUAAGUUGCAAUACUAUGAUAUGCUCUUUUGGA